AUUGAACGCUGGCGGCAGGCUUAACACAUGCAAGUCGAGCGGGGAAAGGUAGCUUGCUACCUGACCUAGCGGCGGACGGGUGAGUAAUGCUUAGGAAUCUGCCUAUUAGUGGGGGACAACAUCUCGAAAGGGAUGCUAAUACCGCAUACGUCCUACGGGGGAAAGCAGGGGACCUUCGGGCCUUGCGCUAAUAGAUGAGCCUAAGUCGGAUUAGCUAGUUGGUGGGGUAAAGGCCUACCAAGGCGACGAUCUGUAGCGGGUCUGAGAGGAUGAUCCGCCACACUGGGACUGAGACACGGCCCAGACUCCUACGGGAGGCAGCAGUGGGGAAUAUUGGACAAUGGGGGGAACCCUGAUCCAGCCAUGCCGCGUGUGUGAAGAAGGCCUUUUGGUUGUAAAGCACUUUAAGCGAGGAGGAGGCUACCGAGAUUAAUACUCUUGGAUAGUGGACGUUACUCGCAGAAUAAGCACCGGCUAACUCUGUG
rnacentral:rRNA from 1 species